AUGGGAGGCUGCCACGCAAUUUGACGGGAAAGUGGCGUCACCCAGAUCACGCCACUUUACCGUUUUUUAUGGGCAUGAGCGACAGAAAGGCCCCGCUCCAGAGCCGAACAGGCCCCGUUACCACACGAAGCAGGGCGUGUGGCUGGGGUAUAAAAGGCCACCAGCAGCUCCAUACGAGGCAAUCGAAACUAUACUGAAAAGAAGAUAUAAAGUGAAAAGUCGAAGUGCGUGAAGAAAGUGCCAAAGUCAAGAGAAAGUCAACGCGAGUAGUAAAUCAGGACUCCCAGGACAUCGUGGGAACAGCAAGGACAUCGUGGGAACAGCAAGGACAUCCAGAGGGAAUCCUUGCGGAUCAUCAGCGGCACCGAUCAGGACAUCGGUGCAUAUCAGCGGCUUAAGCAAGGCCUGCACAUCUGAGCAGUGCUGCCAUUUUAGCCAUUAAGUUGCUAGAUCUAGCAAUUUUGAAUUUGAGUUUGCAAUUUUUUUUUUUAAUUGCUAUUAGCCACAAAUAUAGCUAUUUAAAAAAAAAAAAAAUUAUGCAACUUUUAUGUGAUUUUUGUGAUCUCACAAUAACAUCAUCUUAAAAAGAACUCAACUUGUUCAAAAUCAUAACAAUAUCAAUAAAUGCACAAACUUGUGAACAAUAGUUCAAUAGUUGUGAACAAUAAGUAGUUCACAAAUUCAUCGAAAGUGAUCGAGUGUCAUUUGUGCGCUGAGCUUUAAAUUGUAUGCUGUUUUGUUAGAUUCAUUAAAAGUUUUAUAAAAUAUGCCAAAAACGUAACGUAUACCCAAAAAUUUCGCGAUGUGUGGUUGAGUGGCGAGUUUAAAGAGUGGAUUCGCAAGGAUGACACAGACUCAACAAGGGCCUAUUGCGCCUAUUGCAAGUGCACUAUUGGCGCGAAGCUUUAUGAUGUGCGCCACCACGCUGCCACAAAAAAACAUAUAAGUGCGAUGGGUGCGUGUACACAAAAAAACAAGUUGCCUUUUGUUGUAAAAUGUGACAAGACGGAGGAGCAUGAGGCUGCACUGUGCCUAUACAUUGCAAAACACGCAGAAAUAGUGACAAGCGAUCAUUUGUCGCAAUUAUGUGCGCACAAAUUUGCAGCUUGCCAAUCGGCAGCAAACAUAAAAUUGGGCAGAACAAAGUGCAGUUAUAUAAUAAAACAUGUUCUUGCCGAGCACUUUGCGGAAAAUUUGCGGGCUGAUAUUGGUGACUCGGCAUUCAGUCUUUUGCUAGACGAAUCGACAGAUAUAAGUGUCACAAAGAUACUUGGAGUUGCUAUUAACUAUUUCAGCAAUAGUAAAGGCACAGUUGUCUCAACAUUUCUAAGCCUUGAGUGAAGUGUGCGACGCGAUAUGCAUAGCAGAUGCAGUUAGGAAAUUGCUUUUAAGAAAAAGCUUGAAUAUAGGCAAUUUGAUUGGUAUUGGAACUAAUAACGCAACCGUUAUGACUGGAUCCAAACAAAGUGUCUAUACUGAGCUGAAGAAGUCAGUUCCUUCGCUUCAGCUCAUAAGAUGCGUCUGUCAUUCUGUGCAGCUAGCCGUUAUUAAUGAUGAAGAAAGUAUAUUGGAACAAUCGGACGACAUUUUAACUAUCAUUUAAAAACUUAAUCAUAAAUAAAAGUAAUAAAUUUAACAUAUAAAAUUUUAACAAAAUUUGGCAAUUUCUUUUUAGCAAUUUUAGCAACUUUUUUUGAAAUUCUAGCAAUUCUUGCCUUCAAAAUUCUGGCAGCACUGCAUCUGAGUAAGUUCACGUAGCCGUGCGCAAGAGAAGUGUUUGUGAGUGAAACGUAGCUAGUGUUGUGCUGUGAGCGAGUGGGAUAGUAGGAGAGGCCUGUAUAUAGUGAUGGCACGAUUAAUCAUUUGAUACACAAUAAUCGAUUAUUUUCUUUCAAUUCACGAUUUAAUUGUAUCACAAAAUGGGUUUUGAAUAAUCGAGACAAUCGAUGAUUUGCUCAAAAAAUCGCAUCGCUAUAAGCAACAUUGGCGCGCAAAAGUUGUAAAGCGAAGCGUAAUUAUGGCACCAACAAUUGGUAAAGUGUGGAGAUUUUUUUCCAAAUUAAAUGACACGAAUGUGAAUUGCCAAUUGUGCCAAAAAAAACAACUGAAGUAUUGUAAAAACCAAUAUGCUACUCAAACAUACGAAAGAGUUCGUGUCCCUCAAGGUGAGUUUUCAGUUGUCUAUAAUAAUGAAAAUACUUAAAUUUAACAAUAUCAAGCGCAUACGACAAGAAAUGGCGGAGCUUUCAGAUAUAAAUGAAAUGAAAAACAGAGCACCUUUCACAACUACUAUUUCUUAACUCAAUUUUAAAUAAAUAAACAUUUAUAUUCUUUACUGUU